ensembl:lncRNA
CACUAUACAACCUCCAAUAACACCGAAUUCCAUUCAUUCUCUGUAUGUUCACUCUCAUGUGCCCUUUCAGGUCCUUUACUGAAGAGAACUUUCCUGAAGAUGAAACUGAAGUCCAGUUGGAGUCUGUCUGAUCCUGCGGUGAGAGUCCAGCUCCUGUCACAGCUCCAGUCUGUUUUGGAGGAACGAGGGUUUUCUGACGUGACGCUGCAAUGGACUCAACCGCCAGAACAGGAAGUGAUGCGGAAGGAAGCUGCCCCAGCUCAAUGUGCUGUUAGAAAGAGACGAUGAUGAUCAUGGUGAUGAUGAUGAAGAUGAUGAUGAUGAUAAUGGGGAAACCUAAACUAACAACUCUCUUCGGAUCAGCUUUGAUUUUUCUUCAUUUAUAAGCUAGAAUAUUCUCCAGUCCUCAAUGUUGAUCACACUAAAGGUGUACAUGAAAACUGAAACAAAAUGAUUUCUGCAAAGCUGUGUUGAGCAACAACAAUAGUUGCUUUGACUUUUUUAAGUUGCUUUCGAUUAUAAAAUAUUUAGUUUCCAGCAGCGGUGUAGAAUUCUACAAUAUUGAAUAUGCAUAGUCAUAGUUUACUGUUGUCAGUGUAGUUUGGUUGGGUCUAGGUGGGGUCCUGUCCUGUCAAGUCUCAGUUAGCUUAAAGCAGUACAUGUACAAGUUUAUAUUUAUUAAUUUUUUUUGGUUGUUGUUGUUCUUUUAAAUGAUUUAAUAAAUAAAAAGAAAACAGAUAGAACAUAAAAAUAAUAGAGCAAGGUUAUUUAUUUAUUUAUUUUUAAGAAAACAGUCAUUUAGUAAAUGAAUAGAGUGCAAGUCUAAAAGAGAUAGUUUACCCUGAGUUACUUCCAGAUCUGAGUUCAUCAAGAGUGCCGGUGAACGGCAGACUGUUUUUGUUCUCUUUAAGCAAUACAUUUUGUUUCUGUACCUGCCUUCACAUUUGGGUUCUCUGUUUCUCCUGACAAUAAGUGCUCUAAGUGACAUUAUUAUUAUUAUUAUUUUUAUUUUAUUUUAUUAUUUAUUUAUUUUUUUGGAAGAAAUGUCAGUAGUUUGCAGAAUGCUCAAACAGAUACAUAUAAAUAAUAAAUCCAGAGAAACUGCUAAUUUUGCAGUGGUCUCUUUUCUUCCAGAACUGUAAAUACUGAAUAUAUAAAUUAAAUAUGUAUUAUGUUGUUAUACCAGUUUCCUGACCUAAUAAGUGAUAUAACCAGUUACAUAGUCAAGUUAGGUCACCUUUAUUUAUAUAGCAUCUAGGAGACAAGGUUUUGACUGUGGAGCUGUCUCUGGGGCUUGUCCUGGUCUCCGCUGUCUUUCAGGGAUGUAGAGGUCCUUUCUAGGUGCUGAUCCACCAUCUGGUCUGGAUACGUACUGGAUCCGGGUGACUGCAGUGACCCUCUGAUCUGGAUACAGACUGGAUCUGGUGGCUACGGUGACCUCGGAAUAAGAGAGAAACAGACUAAUAUUAGCGUAGAUGCCAUUCUUCUAACUACAAUAUGUAGCAAGUACAUCGGGUGUUAUGGGAAGUGUGUUAUAGGAAGUUAUGGGUGUUAUUUUUCUCAUUUUUAAGUCGCUUUGGAUAAAAGCAUCUGCUAAAUAAUUAAAUGUAAUGUAAAUGUAAGUGUUCCCGGUUCCAGUUUUCCUAAUUAAUGCAGCCUAAAAAUAAUUUAAAGGGGUCAAAUAAUGCAAUUUAAAUUUUUCCUUUCUCUUUGGAGUGUUACAAUGUCUUGAGUGUUACAAUGUCAACUUAUAAAAG